CAGCAUUCUGUAGCAAUACAGGGUGUGGGCGCGUGGCGAACGGGUGCGUAACACGUGGAUAACCUUCCUUCAGGUGGGGAAUAACCCAGUGAAAAUUGGGCUAAUACCGCAUAACAUCGCGAUGGCACAUGCUGUUGCGUUCAAAGGCGCAAGUCGCCAGAAGAGGGAUCCGCGGCCGAUUAGCUUGUUGGCGAGGUAACGGCUCACCAAGGCAUUGAUCGGUAGCCGGACUGAGAGGUUGGCCGGCCACACUGGAACUGUGACACGGUCCAGACUCCUACGGGAGGCAGCAGUGGGGAAUCUUGCACAAUGGACGAAAGUCUGAUGCAGCAACGCCGCGUGGGGGAUGAAGCUUCUCGGA
rnacentral:rRNA from 1 species